AGGUUUAGAUAGUUAUCUAUUAAUGACUUCGUAGGCAGUUCAAGAAGUCCCAUCUCCGUCCAUGCCCAGGUCCCAGGAAUCACAGUCCGUGUCCUUUCUGCCUCUGGGUUCCUCUGUCAGAACGUGAAGCACAAAUGCAUGCAGGCUGUGAGCUAGCUCUUUUGCUUUGGGUAACCUCAGGGCGAAAAGCAGUGCCUGACUAAGCUGAAAAUGAAGAAGAAGAAGAAAAAAGCAAGGGUUCUAUUUAAAGGUA
rnacentral:lncRNA from 1 species